rnacentral:rRNA from 1 species
GUAACAAGGUCUCCGUUGGUGAACCAGCGGAGGGAUCAUUACCGAGUUUACAACUCCCAAACCCCUGUGAACAUACCACUUGUUGCCUCGGCGGAUCAGCCCGCUCCCGGUAAAACGGGACGGCCCGCCAGAGGACCCCUAAACUCUGUUUCUAUAUGUAACUUCUGAGUAAAACCAUAAAUAAAUCAAAACUUUCAACAACGGAUCUCUUGGUUCUGGCAUCGAUGAAGAACGCAGCAAAAUGCGAUAAGUAAUGUGAAUUGCAGAAUUCAGUGAAUCAUCGAAUCUUUGAACGCACAUUGCGCCCGCCAGUAUUCUGGCGGGCAUGCCUGUUCGAGCGUCAUUUCAACCCUCAAGCACAGCUUGGUGUUGGGACUCGCGUUAAUUCGCGUUCCUCAAAUUGAUUGGCGGUCACGUCGAGCUUCCAUAGCGUAGUAGUAAAACCCUCGUUACUGGUAAUCGUCGCGGCCACGCCGUUAAACCCCAACUUCUGAAUGUUGACCUCGGAUCAGGUAGGAAUACCCGCUGAACUUAAGCAUAUCAAUAAGCGGAGGA